AUUGAACGCUGGCGGCAUGCUUUACACAUGCAAGUCGAACGGUAACAGGCCGCAAGGUGCUGACGAGUGGCGAACGGGUGAGUAAUGCAUCGGAACGUGCCCAGUCGUGGGGGAUAACGCAGCGAAAGCUGCGCUAAUACCGCAUACGAUCUCUGGAUGAAAGCGGGGGACCGAAAGGCCUCGCGCGAUUGGAGCGGCCGAUGUCAGAUUAGGUAGUUGGUGGGGUAAAGGCUCACCAAGCCAACGAUCUGUAGCUGGUCUGAGAGGACGACCAGCCACACUGGGAAGGAGACACGGCCCAGACUCCUACGGGAGGCAGCAGUGGGGAAUUUUGGACAAUGGGCGCAAGCCUGAUCCAGCCAUGCCGCGUGCAGGAUGAAGGCCUUCGGGUUGUAAACUGCUUUUGUACGGAACGAAAAGUCUCUUUCUAAUAAAGAGGGAUCAUGACGGUACCGUAAGAAUAAGCACCGGCUAACUACGUGCCAGCAGCCGCCGUAA
rnacentral:rRNA from 1 species